rnacentral:RNase_P_RNA from 1 species
CGAGUUGAUCAGGCAAUCGCCGGUUUAUUGAAGCCCUUAACCGCCGCAAGGCAAUCUAGCGGGACAAGUAAACGGGAGGAAAGUCCGGGCUACACAGGGCAGAGUGCCAGGUAACACCUGGGGGAGGCGACUCCACGACCAGUGCAACAGAGAGCAAACCGCCGAUGUUCGUAAGAGCAGGUAAGGGUGAAAGGGUGCGGUAAGAGCGCACCGCGUACGUGGUAACACGGCACGGCAAGGUAAACUCCACUCGUAGCAAGACCAAAUAGGAACCCAAUCGGCUGCCCGUCGAGGGUUCGGGUAGGUUGCUUGAGCGUUAGUGUGAAUUAACGCCUAGAUGAAUGAUUGUCCAACGACAGAACUCGGCUUAUCGAUCAACUCACCAA